GUUUUCAUAAUGGGCAUAGCAAAGAUUGGUCAGGACUUAUGUAACCCAGCUUAUCUAUAAAAAUGUACUCAUGUGACCAAAAAUAUCGAUUCAUAUGAACAAAGAGUUUAGUUAAGAAACCAGUGUUUUCUUAUAUCUUACAUAAUACAAUGUUAUAAUUUGCUGCUAUUUUCCUUUUUUUACUUGUAACCCCUGGUGGAUAUUAAAACGUACCCAUUUGCAGUUUAAACGAACAGAAUUAAAAUCAGUUAUGUUUUUCUGUCUUAACUUAUUAAAAGGAAGUUUCCUGUUGUGACUAAUAAGAUUAUACAUUUUGUCCAAGUCUCUCAGCAGAACUAAUUCAGCCAGGUAAAUGG
rnacentral:lncRNA from 1 species